ensembl:snRNA U6 U6 spliceosomal RNA
GUGCUUGCUUCAGCUGCACAUAUACUAAAAUUGGAAUGAUAUAGAGAAGACCAGCACAGUCCCUGCACCAGAAUGACAUGCAAAUUCAUGAAGUGUUCCUUUUUUUU